rnacentral:tRNA from 1 species
ACCCGUCUAGCCCAGUCGGUAGAGCGCUGGCCUUUUAAGCCAGUGGUCGUGGGUUCGAUCCCCACGGGGGGUG